rnacentral:rRNA from 1 species
GACGGAGGGUGCAAGCGUUGUUCGGAUUGACUGGGCGUAAAGGGCGUGUAGGCGGUCGGUCAAGUCUGGUGUGAAAGCCCGGGGCUCAGCUCCGGAAGUGCAUCGGAAACUAGCUGGCUGGAGCGCGAUAGAGGAGGGCGGAAUUCCUGGUGUAGCGGUGAAAUGCGUAGAUAUCAGGAGGAACACCGGUGGCGAAGGCGGGACUCUGGGCCGAUACUGACGCUGAGGAGCGAAAGCGUGGGGAGCGAACAGG